rnacentral:rRNA from 1 species
GACGAACGCUGGCGGCGUGCUUAACACAUGCAAGUCGAACGGGCCUUGUCCCCUUUUUUUUUGGGGGUGGGGUUAGUGGCGAACGGGUGAGUAACACGUGAGUAACCUGCCCCUCACUUCUGGAUAACCGCUUGAAAGGGUGGCUAAUACGGGGUGUUCUGGCCUGCUCGCAUGGGUGGGUUUGGAAAGAUUCGACCGGUUUUGGUUGUUUUGGUGGGGGAGGGGCUCGCGGCCUAUCAGCUUGUUGGUGGGGUGAUGGCCUGCCAAGGCUUUGACGGGUAGCCGGCCUGAGAGGGUGGGCGGUCACACUGGGACUGAGACACGGCCCAGACUCCUACGGGAGGCAGCAGUGGGGAAUAUUGCACAAUGGGCGCAAGCCUGAUGCAGCGACGCCGCGUGAGGGAUGGAGGCCUUCGGGUUGUGAACCUCUUUCGCCAGUGAAGAAGGUCCUGCUCUUUGUGGUGGGGUUGACGGUAGCUGGGUUAAUGAAGCGCCGGCUAACUACGUG